UUUACAUCAUUGGUGAAGGCUUGAAGGCAUGAAUGAGAAUUUAGAGCAAACAGAAUUCUAAAACGGGAGUUCUUGGUUUAUGAUGGAAGAAAUGGCACAAAUAUGAAUGUGAACCUCAACUGCUGAUUUAUAUUCUGUUAAACAAGAAACCUACAAUAAUAGCAUCUAUGCCGAAAUGGAAUAGAUUUGAAAACACCCGCAAGACUGGGAAGAAAAACCUGCGG